rnacentral:misc_RNA from 1 species
GUAGGUGAACCUGCGGAAGGAUCAUUACAACGUAUCCACGUACCAAACUCUCGAACCGUUCCCAACGGAGCAAACACUGUGGAUGAAGUUAAUGGCUGUCUGUCUUUCGCUGAUGGAGUCCGCUGACUUUUGUCAGAGGGACUGGAAGGCAUUCGGUCUCCCGAGCUCGUCUCUGGGACUUCGUUUACUUCGUUGCGGUUUUACCGUCAGCGUUUGUAAUACCAUUAUUGACCCUUUGAACUUAUGAACU